AGAUGUUCUUGCCGGAUUGGAUUUUUACAGUUACAAACUGUAGUCUCGAAGGCAGACGCGCACACGGAAAGCAGUAGUAGAAUAUAGAUAGUCAUCUUUACUUUAAUUUCUGUACAGAAAGAAUCGGUAGAAAUAAAUUUACUGGGGAAAAAUGAAAAGGUUUUGUUGUGGAGAAAGUCAGAAGUGACUACACGUUUGAUGGUAGAAGAUGGCGCUGUUUAAUUGGUGGGGGUUGGCCCCGCCAGAACGACGCGUCUCUUCAAUCUUGAGAUGUGGUAGCCUUUUUUUUAUAUUGAUUUUAUAGUUUAUAAUGGAGUCUUCUCAGCAGCACGCUCUAGAGCUCGCUCUGAAGUUUUUCUAUAUCCCGGACGACAUUCAUCUUAGCCUAAACGAUAGGCUUCGAUUUAAUUGGCUGCCUCAAUAACCGUUGGGCAGCUGGCAGUUUCUUGUGUUGACGGAGUAUAGGCCUUGAGAAGGCGGUUUUGUUUCUCCAACUUUAAGUGAGCGUUUAAUGUGCAGUACCCUGGUUACGCGAGGUAUCAUGAUGUUUUCGAUAUUCCGUCGGCUCGCUUUUUGUGGUAUUGCGAGUCAGGAAUAGAUGUUUUCUUUCCUGAGGGCAUUUCUUUCGACGUUGAGGAACUGGAGUUUCCCGAUAUGGGUCGACUCCACAUUGGUGAUUGAAGGCCGUCGAACGAAAUCUGGCGUUAAUUUUGUUUUAUGUUGUAUUAUGGUGGUUGUUUGAAUACAAUGCCUUUUUCCAUU